UGUUUAUGAUUUGGGCAAUUUCUCCUUUUGUCCUUGAACCUUUCCCACGCUUCAUAGAAUAGUUCAUCAAGUUGUUCUUCAAAAGAGAGCAACUCUCCCCUUAAGGU